rnacentral:sRNA from 1 species
GCUGGGUGUGAUGGCUCGCACCUGUAGUCCCAGCUACUUGGGAGGCUGAGGCAAAAGAAUCGCUUGAACCCAGGAAGCAGAGGUUGCAGUGAGCCGAGAUCACGCCACUGCACUCCAGCCUGGGUGACAGAGCAAGACUUCGUCUCAA